CACGUAGGGUGCGAGCGUUGUCCGGAAUUAUUGGGCGUAAAGAGCUCGUAGGCGGUGUGUCGCGUCGGCCGUGAAAACUUGGGGCUUAACUCUGAGCGUGCGGUCGAUACGGGCAUCACUUGAGUUCGGCAGGGGAGACUGGAAUUCCUGGUGUAGCGGUGAAAUGCGCAGAUAUCAGGAGGAACACCGGUGGCGAAGGCGGGUCUCUGGGCCGAUACUGACGCUGAGGAGCGAAAGCAUGGGUAGCGAACAGG
rnacentral:rRNA from 1 species